rnacentral:tRNA from 1 species
UCCCUGGUGGUUCAGUGGCUAAGAGUCUUACACUCCCAAUGCAGGGGUCACAGGUUCGAUCCCUGGUCUGGGAG